GGCAUGCCUGUUCGAGCGUCAUUUCAACCCUCAAGCUUGCUUGGUGUUGGGGCCUUACUCUGUAAGCCCUGUAAUUUAGUGGCGGAUCUGCUGUAUCCUGAGCGUAGUAAUACGUCGCUUUGGGCUUACUGGAGAUUCUCGCCGUAAAAUAAUUUCUUAAAGUUGACCUCGGAUCAGGUAGGAAUACCCGCUGAACUUAA
rnacentral:misc_RNA from 1 species